rnacentral:rRNA from 1 species
GAUGAACGCUGGCGGCGUGCCUAAUACAUGCAAGUCGAGCGAACAGACGAGGAGCUUGCUCCUCUGACGUUAGCGGCGGACGGGUGAGUAACACGUGGAUAACCUACCUAUAAGACUGGGAUAACUUCGGGAAACCGGAGCUAAUACCGGAUAAUAUAUUGAACCGCAUGGUUCAAUAGUGAAAGACGGUUUUGCUGUCACUUAUAGAUGGAUCCGCGCCGCAUUAGCUAGUUGGUAAGGUAACGGCUUACCAAGGCAACGAUGCGUAGCCGACCUGAAAGGGUGAUCGGCCACACUGGAACGGAGACACGGUCCAGACUCCUACGGGAGGCAGCAGUAGGGAAUCUUCCGCAAUGGGCGAAAGCCUGACGGAGCAACGCCGCGUGAGUGAUGAAGGUCUUCGGAUCGUAAAACUCUGUUAUUAGGGAAGAACAAAUGUGUAAGUAACUAUGCACGUCUUGACGGUACCUAAUCAGAAAGCCACGGCUAACUACGUG